UUGCUCUUAGCUCUGGGCUAUUAUGAUGCCAGGAACAUUCUUGCAUAAAUCUUCCUGCAGAUAUAUGUUUUCAUCUUCCACGAGUCCACAGCUAAGAAAGGUGCUGCUGGAUCACAGUGAGGCAUGAUGGCACAUGCCUGUAAUCUCAGCACUCUGGGAGGCAGAGACAGGUGGAAAAGAAAAAAGAAAAAAGAAAUCAACCUGAGUGAGAUGAAACAUGAUGAACACCACAAAGUUACUAAGAGAAGAAAGGUUUCCUUGUUGGGAUGAAGCUCAGUGAUGAAGCCUGGUUCUCAGGCCCUGAGUCCUCCCCACAGGGUCCUCCAGCUACAGAAUCUUCCUCCCUACAGGAUGCUUGGGGGUUUCCACAGCUCUGCCCUGAUCAUUGUAUUGCCUAUUUCCCAGCAAUCCUGCAAACUUACCCCCUAAUUAGAAAAAUGGCCCUUUUUAAAAGUCUGUGUCAUCCACAACAUUAAUUAAAAUUUAACUGCAUUAAUCAUUGUUUUGAAGGAAGGAAGGGCAGACAGAAUGAAGAGAAAUCUGUUUUUUUUUUUUUUUUCUCAGUCUGAAGUACUAGUGCUGCUAACAGCGUAAGCAUUUCUUACGAUUCUGGACAGUGAAAAGGCAGAGUCAGUUGCUUAUCGCCUUUCUUAGUUCCUUGGAAAACAGAUGAUCCAUCCUUCUUGUCUAUCUGUUCCUGGGACAGACUCCCAUAAAUAAAAUUUCUCCCUAGAUAGAUUAAGGAGUGGCAGGCAGUCCACACCUUAAUUUUUCCGGAAGCACACAGACUCAAACAUAUGAC